rnacentral:misc_RNA from 1 species
GGAAGGAUCAUUAAUGAAUUUGGAGGCUGUCGCUGGCUAGGUCAUUCUAGCAUGUGCACGUCUACUCUUUUAAACACACUUGUGAACCCAUUGUAGAUCGAGUCCAUCGAAAAGUAGCAUCAAACUACCUAAUAGAGGGCUGAUUGGCUUAUUGAAAAGUAUGAGGGCUUAUUGAAAAGUAGUGUGAACUACCUAAUAGAAAGCUUAGUACCUACUAGAGGGCUGGUCGGCUUAUCGAAAAGUGGUAAGAACUACCUAAUAGAGGACUGAGUUGGCUCAUCGAAACGUAGUUAAUAGAGGGCUAGUUGGCUUAUCGAAAAGUGUGAGGCUUAUUGAAAAGUAGUGUGAACUACCUAAUAGAAAGCUUAAUACCUAAUAGAGGGCUAGUCGGCUUAUCGAAAAGUACCUAAUAGAAGGGUUGGUUGGCUUAUUGAAAAGUAUGAGGCUUAUCGAAAAGUAGUGUAAACUACCUAAUAGAAAGCUCAGUACCUAAUAGAGGGCUAGUUGACUUAUCGAAAAGUACCUAAUAGAAAGGUUGGUUGGCUUAUUGAAAAGUACGGCUUAUUGAAAAGUGGUGUGAACUACCUAAUAGAAAGCUUAGUACCUAAUAGAGGGCUAGUUGGCUUAUCGAAAAGACUACCUAAUAGAGGGCCCCAGAAGAUCUAUGUUUAAUCUACACCACAUCGUAUGUCCAGAAAAUAUA